CAAAAGCUCCCAAGACCGAAUCUGGCGGACCAAUAGAGGGAUCAGGUGUUACUGGUGGGUCCAUUGAUGCUGAUGGACUUGAUGGGGUUGCUGGGACAGGAAUACCCAUUUU